AAGGUAUAUCAUGUGGAUUGGCUCAAACUGGUUUUAAUGUUUACAAACUAGUUCCAACUGGAUCUGUGGAUGAGGUUUUACCCUGGCUUUCUAGAAGAAUGGCAGAGAAUAGAGGGAUUAUGGCUGGUGCCAAACAUGACAGGCUCAUGAUUUACGAAGAACUUUGCCG